UGAAGAACGCAGCUAGCUGCGAGAAUUAAUGUGAAUUGCAGGACACAUUGAUCAUCGACACUUCGAACGCACUUGCGGCCCCGGGUUCCUCCCGGGGCUACGCCUGUCUGAGCGUCG
ensembl:rRNA 5_8S_rRNA 5.8S ribosomal RNA